GCAGCAGUGGGGAUAUUGCACAAUGGGGGAAACCCUGAUGCAGCCAUGCCGCGUGUAUGAAGAAGGCCUUCGGGUUGUAAAGUACUUUCAGUUGUGAGGAAGGCGUUGAAGUUAAUAGCUUCAGCGUUUGACGUUAGCAACAGAAGAAGCACCGGCUAACUCCGUGCCAGCAGCCGCGGUAAUACGGAGGGUGCGAGCGUUAAUCGGAAUUACUGGGCGUAAAGCGCAUGCAGGCGGUCUGUUAAGCAAGAUGUGAAAGCCCGGGGCUCAACCUCGGAACAGCAUUUUGAACUGGCAGACUAGAGUCUUGUAGAGGGGGGUAGAAUUUCAGGUGUAGCGGUGAAAUGCGUAGAGAUCUGAAGGAAUACCGGUGGCGAAGGCGGCCCCCUGGACAAAGACUGACGCUCAGAUGCGAAAGCGUGGGGAGCAAACAGGAUUAGAUACCCUGGUAGUCCACGCCGUAAACGAUGUCUACUUGAAGGUUGUGGCCUUGAGCCGUGGCUUUCGGAGCUAACGCGUUAAGUAGACCGCCUGGGGAGUACGGUCGCAAGAUUAAAACUCAAAUGAAUUGACGGGGGCCGGC
rnacentral:rRNA from 1 species